rnacentral:rRNA from 1 species
CGGCAGCACGGGGGCAACCCUGGUGGCGAGUGGCGAACGGGUGAGUAAUAUAUCGGAACGUGCCCUGGAGUGGGGGAUAACGUAGCGAAAGUUACGCUAAUACCGCAUACGAUCUACGGAUGAAAGUGGGGGAUUCGCAAGAACCUCAUGCUCGUGGAGCGGCCGAUAUCUGAUUAGCUAGUUGGUAGGGUAAAAGCCUACCAAGGCAUCGAUCAGUAGCUGGUCUGAGAGGACGACCAGCCACACUGGGACUGAGACACGGCCCAGACUCCUACGGGAGGCAGCAGUGGGGAAUUUUGGACAAUGGGGGCAACCCUGAUCCAGCAAUGCCGCGUGAGUGAAGAAGGCCUUCGGGUUGUAAAGCUCUUUUGUCAGGGAAGAAACGGUUUCUCCUAAUACGAGGGACUAAUGACGGUACCUGAAGAAUAAGCACCGGCUAACUACGUGCCAGCAGCCGCGGUAAUACGUAGGGUGCAAGCGUUAAUCGGAAUUACUGGGCGUAAAGCGUGCGCAGGCGGUUAUGUAAGACAGAUGUGAAAUGCCCGGGCUUAACCUGGGAACUGCAUUUGUGACUGCAUGGCUAGAGUGUGUCAGAGGGGGGUAGAAUUCCACGUGUAGCAGUGAAAUGCGUAGAGAUGUGGAGGAAUACCGAUGGCGAA